rnacentral:rRNA from 1 species
CGAACGCUGGCGGCAGGCUUACCACAUGCAAGUCGCGCGGGCAUCCUUGUGGUGUCCGCGGCAGACGGGUGAGUAACGCGUGGGAACGUGCCCUUCGGUUCGGAAUAACUCAGGGAAACUUGAGCUAAUACCGGAUACGUGCGAGAGCAGAAAGGUUUAUCUGCCGAAGGAUCGGCCCGCGUCUGAUUAGCUAGUUGGUGAGGUUAUGGCUCACCAAGGCGACGAUCAGUAGCUGGUCUGAGAGGAUGAUCAGCCACACUGGGACUGAGACACGGCCCAGACUCCUACGGGAGGCAGCAGUGGGGAAUAUUGGACAAUGGGGGCAACCCUGAUCCAGCCAUGCCGCGUGAGUGAUGACGGCCUUAGGGUUGUAAAGCUCUUUUCUCCGGGACGAUAAUGACGGUACCGGAGGAAUAAGCCCCGGCUAACUUCGUG